AACGGGUGAGUAAUGCGUGACCAACCUGCCCCAUGCUCCAGAAUAGCUCUUGGAAACGGGUGGUAAUGCUGGAUGCUCCAACUUGACGCAUGUCUUGUUGGGAAAGUGUUUAGUGGCAUGGGAUGGGGUCGCGUCCUAUCAGCUUGUAGGCGGGGUAAUGGCCCACCUAGGCUUCGACGGGUAGCCGGCCUGAGAGGGCGGACGGCCACAUUGGGACUGAGAUACGGCCCAGACUCCACGGGAGGCAGCAGGU
rnacentral:rRNA from 1 species